rnacentral:rRNA from 1 species
GAUGAACGCUGGCGGCGUGCUUAACACAUGCAAGUCGAACGGAAAGGCUCCUGCUUGCAGGGGUACUCGAGUGGCGAACGGGUGAGUAACACGUGGGUGAUCUGCCCUGCACUUCGGGAUAAGCCUGGGGAACUGGGUCUAAUACCGGAUAGGACGAUGGUUUGGAUGCCAUUGUGGAAAGUUUUUCGGUGUGGGAUGAGCUCGCGGCCUAUCAGCUUGUUGGUGGGGUAAUGGCCUACCAAGGCGUCGCCGGGUAGCCGGCCUGAGAGGGUGUACGGCCACAUUGGGACUGAGAUACGGCCCAGACUCCUACGGGAGGCAGCAGUGGGGAAUAUUGCACAAUGGGCGCAAGCCUGAUGCAGCGACGCCGCGUGGGGGAUGACGGCCUUCGGGUUGUAAACUCCUUUCGCUAGGGACGAAGCGCAAGUGACGGUACCUGGAGAAGAAGCACCGGCUAACUACGUG